ACAAAGGUCCUUUUAAGGGCCACCCACCUUUUACCCUAAGAGCUUU
rnacentral:ncRNA from 1 species